rnacentral:lncRNA from 1 species
AGAUAAGACACAUGGAAAUGCUGCCCAUAUAUGUAGCGAAAACAACUAUACGAGUCCCGUAUUAAUCCAUAUUUGAACCCAGUUACCUAAUUAGAGGGGGUAAAAAAAAAAGAGAUGAGGAUUCUAAGCAAUACUGGGUAAAGUUUUACUUCACAAAAAAACACAGCUAGCAAAUUUGUGUCAGAACUUAUAAGCCACGGGAAAACCCUCUAAUCCUUU